AGGAACCUGCCUUUCAGAGGGGGACAACAGCUGGAAACGGCUGCUAAUACCGCAUGGCGCAUUCGGAUGGCAUCAUCUGAAUGCCAAAGAUUUAUCGCUGAAAGAUGGCCUCGCGUCUGAUUAGAUAGUUGGCGGGGUAACGGCACACCAAGUCGACGAUCAGUAGCCGGACUGAGAGGUUGACCGGCCACAUUGGGACUGAGAUACGGCCCAG
rnacentral:rRNA from 1 species